AUUUGGACAUCUUCUUUAACUGGUAAUGUAAUAUGAUAAAUGAUUACCAUUUUUUUUUUAAAGCACGGUAGAUUAGAGACAAUAAUAUUCCGUAAUUAAAGCAAGUAAAUGAACAUUUUACUCCAAAUAAAACUACAAUUUUCUCCUGUUUUACCUUUCCCUACCAAUAGAAAGCAUUACUGAUUAAUAAAUGCUCUAUUCUCUACUCAAUUACUAAUAUGCUGUUAAACUCAUAAAUUAAACAUUAUUAAUAGAUCUGCAUCAGGAUAAUAAAUUAUAGGGAUAACUAAAUUAAAACAACAAAAUAGCAUAAUUUCAUUUAGAUUAUUGUGUCUACCAUUUUUCUUCUAUUAA
rnacentral:misc_RNA from 1 species